rnacentral:lncRNA from 1 species
GCUGGGCCAUUACCAUCUAGAAGCUGGUGGGGAUGUGGCAAUUAGAAGGACUGUUAGCCCUAGUUAAUGUGGUCAAGUGAUGUCAAUUGUUUAGUUUUUAGGUGCAAGGAACAGAACCGACGCUGCUGGACUUAAGGAGCAAAGGAAUUUAUCAGAAGGAUAUUGGAUGGCUUGCAGGAACCUGAGAGGCCCAGAGCCAGGCACUGAGGCUCUGCAGCCAGGAACAAUUGCCCACAAGAAAGCCUUAGAAACACUUCUGUGCUGGACCCCACAAGUUCCACCACUGACAACACGGGAUCAAU